AAAAAGCAUAUUCCCUAUCUGUUAAAGAAUCGAGUUUGCGCGGGUGUCAGCUUGUGUUCGAGCAGCGCACGGGUUUCACGUUGUCAAAUACUAUCGGGGCUCGUUUGUUUGCAGGCAUUGAUAAGCACACUUAUCUCCCUUAUAUCUUCCGUUUGUUUGCCAUGUUAGUGAAUCUUCCUGAUCCGGGAAAAUAAAAGCGACCUUGUUCAAAUCAUGUUAGUUAACUACUUUUCUUUACAUAACUCUAACACAACAAAAGCCAGCGAUAGGCAUUAUCACACUUUUCCUGUUUGGCUUUACCAAGUUCUUGUGACCUUAUUGCCCCUCCACCUUCUUCUAUCUACAUCCCUAUUCCUCACGCCAAACUCAAUUUUUCUCAUAAGGCAGUUACCAGGAGCGGCAAAUCAUAUUUUCAGAUUUCAAAAUCAAUCUAGAGAGCCUUUGGUUGGAUUCAUUUAUUUCUCAAAAAUUUGGAGGUUGUGGUGUUUCUUAAUGAUGAGAUGUCAAUUACACUACGUUCUAAAUCAAUUUCAGUUAUUGUCCUUUGAAGCAAAUUGGAUGUGAUUAAGAUUAAAGUCUUUUGGAUGGGAUGGGGGGCUGCGCUCGAGCUUCGUCUCGCCGCCGCCGCAUUUGUCCGAUCUCUCGCACACCCCGACCGCUUCCAAGGAUGAUCGAAGUGGCAUAGCUAGUGAGAAGAAGACACCAUCGAUUCCACGGAGGUAAAAAUAUGCUCAAUUUGAUAUGAGGUACUCUUCUUUUUUCCCAUCAGAUAUGUUGUGUAGAGAGGUGAAAUUCAAUAUUAUCCUAUACAUCAACUGCUUGAGUAUGAACAUGGCUUGCUGAUUGAGAGUCUGGUCGAGGCCCCGACUUCGAGUGGAUCGGUUAGUGGCGGUAGGAGUCGCCUUAGAAUGUAAAUAACGCUUUGACCAUGUCGAAAGAGUAGCUGAAAUCAUCAGCUGCAUUUGGGCUCAUCAGGCAGACCAACCUUCUUCACACAUGUCAGUGGUGCCAGCACUGCACGCUGAGCUUGAGAGAGCUCGGACGCAGGUCAAUUAUCUAAUGCAAGAGCAGCGGAAUAGAGACGGGGUCCAUCAUCUCAUCAAGUGUUUUGCUAAGGAAAAGAUGUCGUGGAAGAGGAGUUCAUCAUCUCAUCAACCUUCUUCACACAUGUUAGGGUUAGUGCGAAAAUUUUAGUUCAACCCCAAAAAUGGGGGAAUGAGGACAAUCUGGGAAUUAUGAAAUAUUAAUGAGGAUAAAUUCGUGAA